rnacentral:tRNA from 1 species
CGGGAUGUAGCGCAGCCCGGUAGCGCGCGUCGUUCGGGACGACGAGGUCGCAGGUUCGAAUCCUGUCAUCCCGACAA